UGUGGUGACAUUCCGUCAUCAAACUAAUAUGGUGACCAGGGAUCAUGUAUGCCUUUCUUACAGUGGGAUAAGCUUUACCUUUUGAUAUGGUAAUUGGGUAAUUCAAUACCUUUACAAGUCAGGAAAGAGGUUACCACUUCCCCCUAUCUCCAUUCCUCUCUGUUCCUUCUUGGCUGUGCUACUGAGCAGUCCCUUAAGCAGACAUGGCCUAAUUUCUAUCAUGGUGAACUGUGAGUGGG